AUUAAGUUGGGCACUCUAAGUUGACUGCCGGUGACAAACCGGAGGAAGGUGGGGAUGACGUCAAAUCAUCAUGCCCCUUAUGAUUUGGGCUACACACGUGCUACAAUGGACAAUACAAAGGGCAGCGAAACCGCGAGGUCAAGCAAAUCCCAUAAAGUUGUUCUCAGUUCGGAUUGUAGUCUGCAACUCGACUACAUGAAGCUGGAAUCGCUAGUAAUCGUAGAUCAGCAUGCUACGGUGAAUACGUUCCCGGGUCUUGUACACACCGCCCGUCACACCACGAGAGUUUGUAACACCCGAAGCCGGUGGAGUAACCUUUUAGGAGCUAGCCGUCGAAGGUGGGACAAAUGAUUGGGGUGAAGUCGUAACAAGGUAGCCGUAUCGGAAGGUGCGGCUGGAUCACCUCCUUU
rnacentral:rRNA from 1 species